AGCGAACGCUGGCGGCAGGCCUAACACAUGCAAGUCGAACGAAGUCUUCGGACUUAAUGGCGGACGGGUGAGUAACACGUGGGAACGUGCCUUUAGGUUCGGAAUAACUCAGGGAAACUUGUGCUAAUACCGAAUGUGCCCCUCGGGGGAAAGAUUUAUCGCCUUUAGAGCGGCCCGCGUCUGAUUAGCUAGUUGGUGAGGUAAAGGCUCGCCAAGGCGACGAUCAGUAGCUGGUCUGAGAGGAUGAUCAGCCACAUUGGGACUGAGACACGGCCCAAACUCCUACGGGAGGCGGCAGUGGGGAAUCUUGCGCAAUGGGCGAAAGCCUGACGCAGCCAUGCCGCGUGAAUGAUGAAGGUCUUAGGAUUGUAAAAUUCUUUCACCGGGGACGAUAAUGACGGUACCCGGAGAAGAAGCCCCGGCUAACUUCGUGCCAGCCGCCGCAGUAACAC
rnacentral:rRNA from 1 species